rnacentral:pre_miRNA from 1 species
AAUAGAUGACACCGUUGACUUUUUCUUACAUGUUUGACCAUUCGUCUUAUUUAAAAAAUUUACGUAAUUAUAAUUUAUUUUGUUAUGAGUUGUUUUAUCACUCAUAGUACUUUAUGUGUGAUUUAUAUCAUAUACAUUUGCAUAAAAUUUUUGAAUAAGACGAAUGGUCAAACAUGUGAGAAAAAGUUAACGGCGUCAUCUAUU